rnacentral:tRNA from 1 species
GUGGGUAUGGUGAAGCGGUUAACACGGCGGAUUGUGGCUCCGUUAUGCAUGGGUUCGAUCCCCAUUACUCACC